rnacentral:rRNA from 1 species
GAUGAACGCUGGCGGCGUGCCUAAUACAUGCAAGUCGAACGAACAGACGAGGAGCUUGCUCCUCUGACGUUAGCGGCACACGGGUGUGUAACACGUGGAUAACCUACCUAUCAGACUGGGAAAACUUCGGGAAACCGGAUCUUAUACCGGAUGAUCUAUUGCACCGCAGGGUGCGAUAGUGAAAGACGGUUUUGCUGUCACUUCUAGAUGGAUCCGCGCCGCAUUAGCUAGUUGGUAAGGUAACGGCUUAUCAAGGCAACGAGGCGUAGCCGAGCUGAGAGGGUGAUAGGCCACACUGGAGGUGAGACACGGUCCAGACUCCUACGGGAGGCAGCAGUAGGGAAUCUGCCGCAGUGGGCGAAAACCUGACGGAGCAACGCCGCGUGAGUGGUGAAGGUCUUCGGAGCGUAAAACUGUGUUAUGAGGGAAGAACAAAUGUGUAAGUAACUAUGCACGUCUUGACGGUACCGAAUCAGAAAGCCACGGCUAACUACGUG